UACGAAGGGAGCUAGCGUUGUUCGGAAUCACUGGGCGUAAAGCGCACGUAGGCGGGUUUGUCAGUCAGGGGUGAAAUCCCGGAGCUCAACUCCGGAACUGCCCUUGAUACAGCAAGCCUUAGAGUCCGGAAGAGGUAGGUGGAAUUCCUAGUGUAGAGGUGAAAUUCGUAGAUAUUAGGAAGAACACCAGUGGCGAAGGCGGCCUACUGGUCCGGCACUGACGCUGAGGUGCGAAAGCGUGGGGAGCAAACAGG
rnacentral:rRNA from 1 species